rnacentral:rRNA from 2 species
AGCGUACAAGGUGGAUGCCUUGGCAAUCAGAGGCGAAGAAGGACGUGCUAAUCUGCGAAAAGCUUGGAUGAGUCGAUAAGAGGCGUUUAAUCCAAGAUAUCCGAAUGGGGAAACCCAGUAGAUGAAGAAUCUACUAUCAACAAGUGAAUUCAUAGCUUGUUGAGGCAAACCGGGAGAACUGAAACAUCUAAGUACCCCGAGGAAAAGAAAUCAACCGAGAUUUCGUCAGUAGCGGCGAGCGAAAGCGAAAGAGCCAGUAAGUGAUAGCAAUAUAGUGAGGAGAAUGUGUUGGGAAGCACAAUCAAAGAGGGUGAUAAUCCCGUAUCUAAAAACCAUAUUGUGGUACUAAGCUAACGAGAAGUAGGGCGGGACACGUGAUAUCCUGUUUGAAGAAGGGGGGCCCAUCCUCCAAGGCUAAAUACUCCUGAUUGACCGAUAGUGAACCAGUACUGUGAAGGAAAGGCGAAAAGAACCCCGGUGAGGGGAGUGAAAUAGAACCUGAAACCUUGUACGUACAAGCAGUGGGAGCGAGGGCAACCUUGUGACUGCGUACCUUUUGUAUAAUGGGUCAGCGACUUAUAUUUUGUAGCGAGGUUAACCGAAUAGGGGAGCCGAAGGGAAACCGAGUCUUAACUGGGCGAAUAGUUGCAAGGUAUAGACCCGAAACCCGGUGAUCUAGCCAUGGGCAGGUUGAAGGUUGGGUAACACUAACUGGAGGACCGAACCGACUAAUGUUGAAAAAUUAGCGGAUGACUUGUGGCUGGGGGUGAAAGGCCAAUCAAACCGGGAGAUAGCUGGUUCUCCCCGAAAUCUAUUUAGGUAGAGCCUUGAGGUGACACCUUUGGGGGUAGAGCACUGUUUCGGCUAGGGGGCCAUCCCGGCUUACCAACCCGAUGCAAACUACGAAUACCAAAGAGUGAUACUCAGGAGACACACGGCGGGUGCUAACGUCCGUCGUGGAGAGGGAAACAACCCAGACCGCCAGCUAAGGUCCCCAAGUCUAUAUUAAGUGGGAAACGAAGUGGGAAGGCUUAGACAGCUAGGAUGUUGGCUUAGAAGCAGCCAUCAUUUAAAGAAAGCGUAAUAGCUCACUAGUCGAGUCGGCCUGCGCGGAAGAUGUAACGGGGCUGAAAUAUAGCACCGAAGCUGCGGCAUCAGAAUUUAUUCUGUUGGGUAGGGGAGCGUUGUGUAAGCGGAAGAAGGUUCAUCGAGAGGUGGGCUGGACGUAUCACAAGUGCGAAUGCUGACAUAAGUAACGAUAAAACGGGUGAAAAACCCGUUCGCCGGAAGACCAAGGGUUCCUGUCCAACGUUAAUCGGGGCAGGGUGAGUCGGCUCCUAAGGCGAGGCUGAAAAGCGUAGUCGAUGGGAAACAGGUUAAUAUUCCUGUACUUGGUAAAGCUGCGAUGUGGGGACGGAGUAGGUUAGGUUAUCGCACUGUUGGAUAUGUGCGUUUAAGUUGGUAGGUGGGAAGUUUAGGCAAAUCCGGACUUCCUUAACACAGAGAGAUGAUGACGAGGCUCUACGGAGCUGAAGUAACUGAUACCACACUUCCAGGAAAAGCCACUAAGCGAAAGGCUUUACUAAACCGUACUGAAAACCGACACAGGUGGUCAGGUAGAGAAUACUCAGGCGCUUGAGAGAACUCGGGUGAAGGAACUAGGCAAAAUAGCACCGUAACUUCGGGAGAAGGUGCGCCGGCGUAGAUUGUAAGGGCUAGCCCCUGAAGGUUGAACCGGUCGAAGAUACCAGCUGGCUGCAACUGUUUAUUAAAAACACAGCACUCUGCAAACACGAAAGUGGACGUAUAGGGUGUGAUGCCUGCCCGGUGCUGGAAGGUUAAUUGAUGGUGUCAUCGAAAGAGAAGCACCUGAUCGAAGCCCCAGUAAACGGCGGCCGUAACUAUAACGGUCCUAAGGUAGCGAAAUUCCUUGUCGGGUAAGUUCCGACCUGCACGAAUGGCAUAAUGAUGGCCAGGCUGUCUCCACCCGAGACUCAGUGAAAUUGAAAUCGCCGUGAAGAUGCGGUGUACCCGCGGCUAGACGGAAAGACCCCGUGAACCUUUACUAUAGCUUGACACUGAACAUUGAAUUUUGAUGUGUAGGAUAGGUGGGAGCCUUUGAAGCAGUGACGCCAGUCAUUGUGGAGGCGACCUUGAAAUACCACCCUUUAACGUUUGAUGUUCUAACGAAGAUGACGAAACGUGGUCUCGGACAGUGUCUGGUGGGUAGUUUGACUGGGGCGGUCUCCUCCCAAAGCGUAACGGAGGAGCACGAAGGUUUGCUAAUCACGGUCGGACAUCGUGAGGUUAGUGCAAUGGUAUAAGCAAGCUUAACUGCGAGACAGACAAGUCGAGCAGGUACGAAAGUAGGUCAUAGUGAUCCGGUGGUUCUGAAUGGAAGGGCCAUCGCUCAACGGAUAAAAGGUACUCCGGGGAUAACAGGCUGAUACCGCCCAAGAGUUCAUAUCGACGGCGGUGUUUGGCACCUCGAUGUCGGCUCAUCACAUCCUGGGGCUGAAGUAGGUCCCAAGGGUAUGGCUGUUCGCCAUUUAAAGUGGUACGCGAGCUGGGUUUAGAACGUCGUGAGACAGUUCGGUCCCUAUCUGCCGUGGGCGUAGGAUGAUUGAUUGGGGCUGCUCCUAGUACGAGAGGACCGGAGUGGACGCAUCACUGGUGUUCCGGUUGUGUCGCCAGACGCAUUGCCGGGUAGCUAAAUGCGGAAGAGAUAAGUGCUGAAAGCAUCUAAGCACGAAACUUGCCAAGAGAUGAGUCAUCCCUGACUUUAAGUCAGUAAGGGUUGUUGU